UACAGAGGUCUCAAGCGUUGUUCGGAUUCAUUGGGCGUAAAGGGUGCGUAGGCGGCGGGGCAAGUCAGGUGUGAAAUCUCGGGGCUCAACUCCGAAACUGCAUUUGAUACUGCCUUGCUAGAGUACUGGAGAGGAGAUUGGAAUUUACGGUGUAGCAGUGAAAUGCGUAGAUAUCGUAAGGAAGACCAGUGGCGAAGGCGAAUCUCUGGGCAGUUACUGACGCUGAGGCACGAAGGCCAGGGGAGCAAACGGG
rnacentral:rRNA from 1 species